UUAUGAAAAGGACAAGAAGAUACUGAACUCCUAUGUUCAGGCAGCGGAAACAAAACACAUGAAAGGCGACACUCUGGUUAUGGAGGCUUAAGAAAGUAUGAAGUGACAUUCAACUAGACUCUGGAGCAUUCUCACUUCACUUAAAAUUUUACUGGUAAGUGCAAGUAGUUUGGUGUGGUCAUCUUUUCCUUUAGUUAUUGGUAUAUGGCUUGUAAAAAUUAAGAUGUCAAUUUUUCAUCUCUUGGCUCACAAAAUUUAUCAUUUUCUUUACUUGCUGGAAAGAUUGAAUUUCCCUUACAGAUGUGAAUAAUUCUGUUUCUAUUGUCAUAUUUUUCCUCCUCCUUCUUCUUCUUCUUUAGCAACAUGAGUGGUCUUUGACUCUUGAAUUUGAGUUUUAUUUCAUCCAUUAUAAGUUUUUGGGUGCAAGGAGUCCUCUUUUUGAUAUGUGAUGUCUUGAGAACUCUUAAAAUAGGACUGAACUACAGAUGUCAUUCAUUGUCUUUGAUCUUUAAACUUGUAUUAUUAGAUUCGAUGCUUGUCAUAAAUCACAUUCCCUUGAGUUACUAACUAUGCUCAUUGAAUAGUUGAUGACGACUUUACGUUUUGGAAUGUAAAUGUGCAAUGAAGCUAUUGGGAUUUUUAGCUAUUGUUUUCAAAUACUACAUUCAACACAAUAAGCAUUAAUCCAAUCUAGUUGAAGUUAGCUAUGGAUCUUUUUCAUACUCUCUACUUAUUUUAGAGAUACAUUUAUAUGGAGGUCAAAAAAUGCUAAAGCCUAACGCUUUGUCAUAUUUCAUCUUAGGUUUACGAAUAAUCUUCUCCAUUUCUGUAACAUAGAUAUGUUUAAAAUUCCAUGCCAUCCGUGGGUCUGCUCCAAGCAAUGCUCUUUUAGCAUUAGCUCCAAAAGUCUAGAUGGUAUUUUAUUGACCUUUCUCAAAGGUUUAAUAGUGCUAUCAACUAUGAGAGAUUUUGUAUGUGAUUGCAUUGAUUUAUCUAUGUUAAGAAUUUAAGAAUAAGAAAGAUUAUAAAUAAAAAAGAAAGGAAGAGAAUCAUAAAGACUACAUCUUUGUUAUCAUUUCUUCUAUCUUUGUUAGAAUAGAAGAUCACACAUUUAUGUAUAAAUAUCACUAAAAUUAUUUUAGCUAAUCCCUAAAAUUAUGCUAUACUAAUUAGGAAUACAAAUCUCUACCUAUUUAGAAAUAUAAAUCCUACAUUAAAUACUAAUAUAUAAAAAAUAUAUUAACUUUCCAUAACACUCCCCUUUAGGUUGGAGCAUUCAUCAAUUCCGACACUUUCCCUUAAUGAGAUUCUUAUUGAAGUCAAUAACUUCUUCACAACAACUUACAAAUGACAUAACCAGAAGUUCACAAAGCAGAUUCAUAAAUAUCUACACAAAGACACAAGCACAAAGCACCAAAAUACAAAACAACUAUCAAGGUUGCACUUUCCUCCCAAAAGGCAACGCCGAUUGGGAAACAUCAACACGGAGCAAACACAUAAGGUUGCUGACAAUAGGUAAAUCAAUACACAUGACAAUGGUAGUAAAAAUGGCUUGUAGGCUCUUUCCCUCUCCCUUGGUGUUUUCUGCUUGUUUUGG
rnacentral:misc_RNA from 1 species